UGGUAAAGGGUUAUUUUCAUGCAAUGUGUUUUGCCAUUUUAAUUUCAUGUGCAGCCAAGAAAAGAUUUCGUUAUUCGUCGUGUUUCGUGAAAUCAGUAAAAAGAUCAACGUGCAAGACAUUUUUAAUUGUUCGUUCAUUAUAAAUGGCAAUGUUAUUUCACGUUCUUUGGCGCAGAUACCCCCUUACGCCCCUCAUUAAAUACAUGUUUUCCAAGAACCUUAGAGUAAUGUACAUUUGUAAUGCCCUAGCACUCUUGAAAGUAACAGACUGAAAAGAAACAUGUACAGUAAGUGACAACUUUAAAUAAAUAACAGUUUAAGUGGCUGUGUUUGUACAAUAGUGUUGAUGGUGAGGUCAUAGCAGUUCAUUGACAGUGACCACUAGCCUUUACAACUCUGAUCAGGUUAACAUUGUGUAUUAACCUGCA
rnacentral:lncRNA from 1 species